rnacentral:piRNA from 1 species
UAAAAAACGAGUUACCGAUUU